CAGAUGAUGUCCCCUCCAUCCCAAACUAUUCUGGGAUUCUGUGCAAAAUCACUGAUUCCAUAAUGGGAGAAUCCUUCAAGCAUUGGUUUAAACUUGCAAACCAAUCGCUGUGUUUGUUUUCCCUCAAGUCUUUAAUUUAAAGAAUGUAAUUAAUCUCAAAACCUUUUAAAUUUUAGAGUGAACACCCCAUAGUGAUGUUGUAUCAUCCAUCUCUGGGAUUCAGGUGAGAAAUUCAGAGAAGCUGAAUUAAAUGGAUUUUAUGGGAUAUCUGCAUUUAUCGCCUCUGUAGGAAGACAAAUUCUUGUGUUACAGGGAAAGAAAAAUCAUUCAGGCUCCUGUGCAUUGUAGGGGACCUAAAAUAUCGCCUUAAAAUGUAGAUUUUGACUUUCUGCCCAGUGCUGCCUUGAAAGUUUUGCCAUUACAACCUAAUUGCUGAAUAAAUGUUCCCUCAGUGGAGGACAGGCAGUGGCUCCCUUUUGGUACCAAUUCUGCACCUGGAAAUCUGUUCCCUUUCUUAUUUUAUAUGGAAUUCUUUCAGUUGCAAACUACUGAUCUUCCACCUUGGGACAGGCUUUGGAACGAAGUGGGGGAAGGUAACAUGUGUUGGGUUUCCAAGAGUUAUUCACCUCUUCUUCCCAAGCAGAAGAUGGAUUUCCCUUCUCCAGGGUUUCCCUGGAUAUUCCUGACAUGUCACAAAUCACCCCAUGGUUACUGACUUGGAAAUGUUCUCCUUUGUGCCUGAACUGGGCAGACUGGGAAGCUGCUGGCUCAGAUCCAGGAAUUAAUCCAGUCUUGGACUGAAAAUCCCACCGUACGUGACUGAAGGCACUGCCAGUCCCAGGGUUUGCCAAAUGGGAACGAGGAACGUACCCCGAGCACAUCCUGCACCUCACAGCCCCUAACAUCUGCACCUGGGGUCCUCCAGGACAAUGAAUAACAAGAAAGGAUCUUUGAAGCCCUAAAUUCAUCUUCAGUUGUUCUUCCAAACAUCCUGCAAUGGAAAAUUGUGCUAGAAGAUGUCUCCAAUAAAGAUUUAAUCAUAUAAUCUAAUAUAUGAAUAUUAAAUGUGCUCCAGGGAGCCAGGUAUGCAUUGCAAACAUCUGUAAUAAACAUGUAUAAUUCAAGACGCUUCUGGAGUAUUAAGAAAUUACCAAAAAUAGAAAGGAGAGGGGUUUUGUAAAAUAAUUGCCUUCCAACUUGAAGCAGAUGUCUUCCAAAUACUGGUUCAGUUGGAGAUGAGGCUGGGAGAGUUUUGAUGCAGGAGGUUUUUGACAGAGAGGAAGCACAGACUCAAAUAGGUAAAAAUUACACAGAAGACCCUUUAAAGUCAUUUUCCCUCAUCUUUUGGACUCUGAUUUCUGCUUCAACUUUCUGUGCUUUCCAGCGGUGAAGCUCCAGACACCCACAGCGGUGCUCCCACUCCCAAAAUACUGAUUUGGGUGGGUGGGUGAUGAGUAUGUGGAGGAGUCACUGGGCUGAGAGGCUCUUUGCAGUAAAAGGUUACUCAAACCUUCAGCAUUUCCAUGUGGAAAUCAUGGGAUGGUGGCUGCUCCUCCAGGGAAAAUGAUCUCAAGGAGCCUGGGACACUCUGCCCAUUUUAUAUCUCAAUUUCCAUGGAAUUGUCUCUGCAGCCAGCCUAUAAAACCUGGGCAAACAGUACAAAAAUGGGUUGAAAACUUUGAAUUCAGCAUUUAAAAUACCAAGCUGAGUC